rnacentral:sRNA from 1 species
AACUUCCGGUGGCGACUCAGUAGUUUCUGAACUGGCAAACGCAAAAAAAAACACUGUGCGAUUUCUAUAAUGGAAUUAACUAUGAAGCCAUUUCAACAUGAUUAUGCAAGACAAGAACCACAUCAACAAAGUGAUCGUUUAGAUAUGAUGCACGCAUAUACAUGUAACAAGAACAACGCCUUAGAAAUCAACGCCCCAAAAAUCAAGGACAUCUAAGUGAUGAAGAGGUAUUAGGGCAGACAACAGUCCAACCUACAAAACUUCAGUGUCAGGGAUUUAUCAUGCAGAUGUUGCAUACCCCCUUAUACCCAACAUGAAAGUGGAAUUUUGUUACAACAUUCUUAAUUAUUAUUCCUUGUUUUAAUGCACCUUUCUUAUUACCAAAUUAACACAUUCACAUGCAUGAUGUGAUUGUUUUCCAGUAUCUGUUAUUGUUUCAAUAUUUUAAGACAGUUGGUUCAAAAUGGUAAAAUGAGAUAUAU